rnacentral:rRNA from 1 species
UAAACGACUCUCGGCAACGGAUAUCUCGGCUCACGCAUCGAUGAAGAACGUAGCAAAAUGCGAUACUUGGUGUGAAUUGCAGAAUCCCGUGAACCAUCGAGUUUUUGAACGCAAGUUGCGCCCGAAGCCUUCUGGCUGAGGGCACGUCUGCCUGGGCGUACGC